rnacentral:rRNA from 1 species
CACGUAGUUAGCCGUCCCUUUCUGGUAAGCUACCGUCACAGUGUGAACUUUCCACUCUCACACCCGUUCUUGACUUACAACAGAGCUUUACGAUCCGAAAACCCUCUUCACUCACGCGGCGUUGCUCGGUCAGGGUUGCCCCCAUUGCCGAAGAUUCCCUACUGCUGCCUCCCGUAGGAGUCUGGGCCGUGUCUCAGUCCCAGUGUGGCCGAUCACCCUCUCAGGUCGGCUAUGUAUCGUCGCCUAGGUGAGCCAUUACCUCACCUACUAGCUAAUACAACGCAGGUCCAUCUUGUAGUGGAGCAAUUGCCCCUUUCAAAUAAAUGACAUGUGUCAUCCAUUGUUAUGCGGUAUUAGCUAUCGUUUCCAAUAGUUAUCCCCCGCUACAAGGCAGGUUACCUACGCGUUACUCACCCGUUCGCAACUCAUCCAAGAAGAGCAAGCUCCUCUCUUCAGCGUUCUACUUGCAUGUAUUAGGCACGCCGCCAGCGUC